rnacentral:rRNA from 1 species
UACGAAGGGGGCUAGCGUUGUUCGGAAUCACUGGGCGUAAAGGGCGCGUAGGCGGCCGAUCAAGUCGGGGGUGAAAGCCUGUGGCUCAACCACAGAAUUGCCUUCGAUACUGUUUGGCUUGAGACCGGAAGAGGUGAGUGGAACUGCGAGUGUAGAGGUGAAAUUCGUAGAUAUUCGCAAGAACACCAGUGGCGAAGGCGGCUCACUGGUCCGGUUCUGACGCUGAGGCGCGAAAGCGUGGGGAGCAAACAGGAUUAGAAACCCUUGUAGUCC